CUCCCUCCAGAGACAGACGUACUAAAAUUGGAACAAUACAGAGAAGAUGAGCAUGGCCCUGUGCAAAGAUGACACGCAAGUUCGAGAGGCGUUCCAUAGUUUG
ensembl:snRNA U6 U6 spliceosomal RNA